CGGGCAACCUGCCCCCGACCCUGGGAUAACCCCGGGAAACCGGAGCUAAUACCGGAUACUCUCCUCUGACCACCUGGUCGGAUGAGGAAAGGUCCGCCGGUCGGGGAUGGGCCCGCGGCCUAUCAGCUUGUUGGUGGGGUAACGGCCUACCAAGGCAUCGACGGGUAGCUGGUCUGAGAGGACGACCAGCCACACUGGGACUGAGACACGGCCCAGACUCCUACGGGAGGCA
rnacentral:rRNA from 1 species